CCUGGCCUAGAGUUCCCAAACCUGGGCUCGCAGGGGGCUCCGGGAGGGGGCUAUUUAGUGGCUGAGGCGGCGUGGACUGCCCUCGUCUUCCUGGCAGCGACGUGCAAGAAGGAGGGGCAAAAGGAGGGCUGGACUCGGGCACGAAAGGAUCUGGAGCGCCGACUGCACGAAGCAGGCAGCGUGCAGAACUUCCCUGAACCCAUGUCCCCUGCAUCGGAAACAUGGAGCCUUAACCACCAGAACACCAGGGAAUUCCUGACCAGCAUCCUUAGAAGAGGAAGGGAUUCUCACAAACACAGUGGAAGAGGCCACAUGAAGAUGGAGGCAGAAGCUGGGAGUGAUGCAGUCACAAGCAAGGGACAUCUGGAAACACCAGACGCUGGAGUGUAGGGCUUCCCAGGUGGCCCAGUGGUUAAGAAUCUGCCCUGUAAUGCAGCGGACACCAGGUUCCUUCCUGGUCUGGGAAGACCCCACAUGCUGAGGGGCAACUAUGACUGUGUGCCGCAACUCCUGAGCCCACGUGAGCAAGUACUGAAGGCUGUGUGCCCUGGAGCCUGAGCUCCGUGAGACAAGCCACCACAAUGAGAAGCCCACGCGUUGCAACCAGAGACUACCCUUGCCAGCUGCAACUAGAGAAAGCCCUCAAGCAGCAACGAAGAGCCUGUGAGCUGCAACGAAGACCCAGCGCAGCCAAAAAUAAAUAAAUGUUUAAAAAUAA